rnacentral:lncRNA from 1 species
GCAGCUGUCAAAAUAAAGGGUACUUGUCAAUUUUUCAUAAAGGGUGAUUUUUGCCCAUUUUUAAAUUCAAACUGUUUACCCAUUAAAGAGUGAAAAAUGUAUUAGGAAUGUUGACCGCUGUGCGAUUAGUUCCGGACAAGUCGAGGUCAAUUUAAUAGUUAAACUUGUGUUUAAAACAAUAUUUCAACAAUUUUCAGCAGAGGUUUCAAGAUGAGAAGUUUAACAGCAGUUCAUACACGUCAUCGAAGAGACCAUCGCCAUCAUUUUACAUCAUCAAACAUUGCUGUUCAUAGAAUUCUUGAAUAAUUGAUUAUACCGUACAUUUUAAUUGUUGAAAUAAAUCGUCUUCUAUGUGUAAACUAAUUCAAA